CUACGUGUAGGUGUAAGGGUUAGGACUGACAGUUUGCAUUUGAUGAGUAUGUUUAAGCAUAAGGAAUGUGAAAUAGACAUUUGCUGAGCUGAGCAAGUCUUACAGUCAAUGUGCAUUGUGGACACAUGUGAUGUAUAUAUAUUCUAUCGAUGAGGAGAGAGACUCAAGUGAGAUAAAGGACCGUGAAAUAACAGUGGAUGAAUCUAUCAAGUUUUAGAUUUUAAAAUAUGACUGUAUAUACAGUUUGAAUACUUUUAAAUAAGUGUGGUGGCGG
rnacentral:lncRNA from 1 species